rnacentral:rRNA from 1 species
CACGUAGGGCGCAAGCGUUGUCCGGAAUUAUUGGGCGUAAAGAGCUCGUAGGCGGUCUGUUGCGUCCGCUGUGAAAACUCGGGGCUUAACCCCGAGCCUGCAGUGGAUACGGGCAGACUAGAGGUAGGUAGGGGAGAAUGGAAUUCCCGGUGUAGCGGUGAAAUGCGUAGAUAUCGAGAGGAACACCUGCGGCGAAGGCGGGUAGCUGGGCCGACACUGACGCUGAGGCGCGAAAGCCAGGGGAGCGAACGGG